rnacentral:rRNA from 1 species
CCUACGGGGGGCAGCAGUGGGGGAUAUUGCACAAUGGGGGGAACCCUGAUGCAGCGACGCCGCGUGGGUGAAGAAGCGCCUCGGCGCGUAAAGCCCUGUCAGCAGGGAAGAAAAUGACGGUACCUGAAGAAGAAGCCCCGGCUAACUACGUGCCAGCAGCCGCGGUAAUACGUAGGGGGCAAGCGUUAUCCGGAUUUACUGGGUGUAAAGGGAGCGUAGACGGUUAUGUAAGUCUGGAGUGAAAGCCCGGGGCCCAACCCCGGGACUGCUUUGGAAACUGUGUAACUGGAGUACAGGAGGGGCAGGCGGAAUUCGUGGUGUAGCGGUGAAAGGCGUAGAUAUCAGGAGGAACACCGGCGGCGAGGCGGCCUGCUGGACUGAAACUGACGUUGAGGCUCGAAAGCGUGGGGAGCAAACAGGAUUAGAUACCCGGGUAGUC